rnacentral:rRNA from 1 species
AUGGUACACCAUCAAGAGGACGUGUCCAAGUAUUGCGGGCACAUGAAGCAUCUCAUCGCACGGUGGCCUAGCGGUGCACAAAUCAUCAAGCAACCUUCUCGUGCUUGUUUGGUGUACAAGAAGUUGGAGAAGAAGAACUUCACCGUCACGCAUUGUUGGUUGAAGUUGAAUGGACAACCGAAGUGGAACCUUUUCAUAGCCAAGACCGCCACCCAAGCCACAGAGGGAGAAACUGGUGACCCUACCGACCCAACCCAAGAACCGCCAAAAAAGGUUAGAAGAUUUUUACGGGGGAAGAAGUUGGAGGAGGAGAGAGCGAAGCGAGAAGGUGCGGUGGUCAACCCGAUGGAGAGGUUCGAGGACAUCUUGUCAAAGAAGGAGGCAUGCGUGAAGCGCUCAGACCUCAAGGAGGAUAAAAAGGCGGAGAGGUUCAAAUUGUUGAUGAAGGCGACAGACAAAAAGUUCAAGCUCGAAGAGAGGAGGACCAUGAUCGAAGAGAGGAAAGCCGCGCUCAAGGAAAAGAAGUUGAAGAUCACAACCAAUGCGGAUGAUGCCAAGAUGUUGACCUUGAAUUUGGAUGCUUUGGAUGCCGACGCAAGAAUGAUCGUGCAAUCCGUCCGCUACCAGAUGUUGCAGUGGCAGAAAAAUGAGUUGAUAGCGGCGGACAAUGAGGCAGAGGUGGACGGGGGCGCGGAGGUUGCCUACGCGCCGACGAUGACACCUUGA